AUGCACCAUGCCCAUUGGGUCCAGAUGGACUACCGAUGCCUGGCUGCUGGCAGAAGUGAUCAAUCUAACUCAAACCGCAUGGAAUUUGUAAAUAAUGCUUCAUUUUUGUAUUUAUAUUUUUUUUUAAUUGUGCAAAAAGAAAGUCUAUAUGAAUAUAAAUGUGUGUGUGUAUGUAAAUAGAAAAAAAAAGCUCAACGCUCAUGAGGCUCAAGCAUACACACACACACACACACACAGCUGCUUUCACUCACCCUUGUGCGGUCAUGGCAGUGUGUGUCAAGCUUAUAUAGUAUAUAAGUAUAUAUUUUUCAUCAUCUAAGAGACUCUCACACAUGCUUUGCAUGAUCCUCGGAGUGGAUAAGCGUGGAUAUGGAAACGGACUAACUGGGAAAAAGGCAAAGGAAAGGAGUGGAAAAGGAUAAGGAGGAGUGAGGAGGAGAUGAGAGAUGGAGGGAUGAGGAGGAGGACUGGCUCUCGACAUUGGAAACUAGCUGUUUGUCUAUAUGUUUGUAUUCAUCUGAGAACUCAUCACUCAUCAUCAUCAUGCCACCAAACAUCAUGCUACCAAGCUUAAUAUAAGACUAAAGACUGUCUCUACAGGCCAAAACAAGCAUGAAUGUGUAUAUAUAGGCUACAUAUCACGUGGGCGUGGUGUGGUCAGAAAUGCUAUGGCGGCUUCUGCUAAACACUAACUGGCUGUCAGUUUUUUCGCUCACGUCUCUCACAUUGUAUAAUAACAGCAAAUAUUCGUAUCUUUUUGACGUUUUACUUCUUUUUUCUUUGUUGUUGUUUUUUUUGUUCAUCUUCCUAAAGGGAGUCACACCUUGGCUGGUGGCCUGAAAAGUGGAGAUAGUGAUUUAUCUGGAGGUAGAAAACCAGAGAGAGCAAUUGUUGGUUUGCUUUUGCUUUAUUGGCCUUUGUGGCAGCGCCUCUGUUUUUCACUUAAGUGAAUCUUAAGUGACUCCCUGCCUCACGUUCUCAAGAGAACGAGCGACCACCAGUGAACUUUAUGAUAGGGUGAGCGGGAUGAGCAGGAGAAAGGGGCAGCUGCUGUCCAGUCUUCACUUCAAUCAUAAGUAAAGUGGACGACAGAUGGACGGAAACCGCGGUCCCAAUGUGUUUCGAUGCAUGGACCUCACAAUUCCUUGUCUUGAGUGUGGCAAGAGGGUGGGGCUUUCUA
rnacentral:lncRNA from 1 species